AAAUUGAAGAGUUUGAUCAUGGCUCAGAUUGAACGCUGGCGGCAGGCCUAACACAUGCAAGUCGAACGGUAACAGGAAGAAGCUUGCUUCUUUGCUGACGAGUGGCGGACGGGUGAGUAAUGUCUGGGAAACUGCCUGAUGGAGGGGGAUAACUACUGGAAACGGUAGCUAAUACCGCAUAACGUCGCAAGACCAAAGAGGGGGACCACUGCCUGAUGGAGGGGGAUAACUACUGGAAACGGUAGCUAAUACCGCAUAACGUCGCAAGACCAAAGAGGGGGACCUUCGGGCCUCUUGCCAUCGGAUGUGCCCAGAUGGGAUUAGCUAGUAGGUGGGGUAACGGCUCACCUAGGCGACGAUCCCUAGCUGGUCUGAGAGGAUGACCAGCCACACUGGAACUGAGACACGGUCCAGACUCCUACGGGAGGCAGCAGUGGGGAAUAUUGCACAAUGGGCGCAAGCCUGAUGCAGCCAUGCCGCGUGUAUGAAGAAGGCCUUCGGGUUGUAAAGUACUUUCAGCGGGGAGGAAGGGAGUAAAGUUAAUACCUUUGCUCAUUGACGUUACCCGCAGAAGAAGCACCGGCUAACUCCGUGCCAGCAGCCGCGGUAAUACGGAGGGUGCAAGCGUUAAUCGGAAUUACUGGGCGUAAAGCGCACGCAGGCGGUUUGUUAAGUCAGAUGUGAAAUCCCCGGGCUCAACCUGGGAACUGCAUCUGAUACUGGCAAGCUUGAGUCUCGUAGAGGGGGGUAGAAUUCCAGGUGUAGCGGUGAAAUGCGUAGAGAUCUGGAGGAAUACCGGUGGCGAAGGCGGCCCCCUGGACGAAGACUGACGCUCAGGUGCGAAAGCGUGGGGAGCAAACAGGAUUAGAUACCCUGGUAGUCCACGCCGUAAACGAUGUCGACUUGGAGGUUGUGCCCUUGAGGCGUGGCUUCCGGAGCUAACGCGUUAAGUCGACCGCCUGGGGAGUACGGCCGCAAGGUUAAAACUCAAAUGAAUUGACGGGGGCCCGCACAAGCGGUGGAGCAUGUGGUUUAAUUCGAUGCAACGCGAAGAACCUUACCUGGUCUUGACAUCCACGGAAGUUUUCAGAGAUGAGAAUGUGCCUUCGGGAACCGUGAGACAGGUGCUGCAUGGCUGUCGUCAGCUCGUGUUGUGAAAUGUUGGGUUAAGUCCCGCAACGAGCGCAACCCUUAUCCUUUGUUGCCAGCGGUCCGGCCGGGAACUCAAAGGAGACUGCCAGUGAUAAACUGGAGGAAGGUGGGGAUGACGUCAAGUCAUCAUGGCCCUUACGACCAGGGCUACACACGUGCUACAAUGGCGCAUACAAAGAGAAGCGACCUCGCGAGAGCAAGCGGACCUCAUAAAGUGCGUCGUAGUCCGGAUUGGAGUCUGCAACUCGACUCCAUGAAGUCGGAAUCGCUAGUAAUCGUGGAUCAGAAUGCCACGGUGAAUACGUUCCCGGGCCUUGUACACACCGCCCGUCACACCAUGGGAGUGGGUUGCAAAAGAAGUAGGUAGCUUAACCUUCGGGAGGGCGCUUACCACUUUGUGAUUCAUGACUGGGGUGAAGUCGUAACAAGGUAACCGUAGGGGAACCUGCGGUUGGAUCACCUCCUUA
rnacentral:rRNA from 1 species